rnacentral:lncRNA from 1 species
AGGACAAGCAACCAAGCUUCAAAUCAAAAAAUGUCCCCAAUCUUCAAAUUUCAAACUAUCAGCAAGCAUAAGCCAAAUGCAUAAAACUGAGGACAAGUAACCAAGCUGCUACUAGACUUGAACCUUUAGACUUCAAAUUGGAUAACCAUAACAGACCUAAAUAGUUGAACCAAUUUAAUAGCUUCCAAGCCAUAAUCCAAAGUACAGGUAGAACCAGCAGCCAAAUUCCAAUCCAAACUUAAAAAACUUUUCAAGUGCUCAAGUAGAACAAUAUUACUGUACCAAAUCUUUAUAAACCCUUC